rnacentral:rRNA from 1 species
UACGGAGGGGGCUAGCGUUGUUCGGAAUUACUGGGCGUAAAGCGCACGUAGGCGGCUUUGUAAGUUAGAGGUGAAAGCCCGGGGCUCAACUCCAGAACUGCCUUUGAUACUGAAGAUCUUGAGUUCGGGAGAGGUGAGUGGAACUGCGAGUGUAGAGGUGAAAUUCGUAGAUAUUCGCAAGAACACCAGUGGCGAAGGCGGCUCACUGGCCCGAUACUGACGCUGAGGAGCGAAAGCGUGGGGAGCGAACAGG